UUUACCCACCAAAGAAGCUCCAUCAUCGCCUGAUAAAAGGAGAUGUGGAUUCAGCUGUGUCACUGUGAGGCAGACCACAGAAACCAACUCAAACACACCCCGAUCAGGGGGGACGCAGAUACUCCAACGCCCCCAAACAACACUGGAGAUGCCAGCGCAGCAGAAGGAGCGGAGCACCGAGGAGGAAACGGAGGAAAGAUAACGGGAUUUAGAACGAGCCGGCAGGGAGAGCGAAUCGCACAGAGACAAUAGUGGAGACAAAAAUGGCACAACGAUACAAGGAGACAGACAAGAAUGAACAAAAAAUGGAAACAUGAUAAGGAUGAUGGAUGGAGGAAGAAUGAACCAGACUGCUGGAAAUGCCAUUAAGUUAGGGAGGCUGACACAUCCACACCCACGUCUGAGCACUGCCCAGUGUUCUGGAUAUUUUUGGUCCAGGUUAUUCUGAUGACAGUGAUGGUAUGUGAGGAUCAUAACAGUUUACACUCUUGCUCAUACGUGUGUGACAAAGAGUGUUUGUUCCUGUUUGUCAGAGGAUUGGUUUAUGCAGCAGAGGUGAGGAUGUGAGUGUGAGUAUUUCUCUCACAUAAUAUCCUCUUCUACCUUUGAACUUUGCUCCAAACUUGUCUCUGUUUUGUCUUCAAAAAUGGGCAUUUCAUUGUUGGUGGAACGACGACCAAUAUGGCGUCGCUUUCCUUCCUAUCUUGUCAUAUCAAGGCAAACAUCGA